GCUUGUCUCAAAGAUUAAGCCAUGCAAGUCUAAGUAUAAGCAACCUAUACUGUGAAACUGCGAAUGGCUCAUUAAAUCAGUUAUCGUUUAUUUGAUAGUACCUUACUACACGGAUAUCUGUGGUAAUUCUAGAGUUAAUACGUGCUAAAAACCCCGACUUCGGGAGGGGUGUAUUUAUUAGACAAAAAACCAAUGCCCUUCGGGGCUCCUUGGUGAUUCAUAAUAACUCAACGAAUCGCAUGGCCUUGCGCCGGCGAUGGUUCAUUCAAAUUUCUGCCCUAUCAACUUUCGAUGCUAGGGUAGUGGCCUAGCAUGGUUACAACGGGUAACGGGGAAUUAGGGUUCUAUUCCGGAGAGGGAGCCCGAGAAACGGCUACCACAUCCAAGGAAGGCAGCAGGCGCGCAAAUUACCCAAUCCCGACUCGGGGAGGUAGUGACAAUAAAUACUGAUACAGGGCUCUUUCGGGUCUUGUAAUUGGAAUGAGUACGAUUUAAACACCCUAACGAGGAACAAUUGGAGGGCAAGUCUGGUGCCAGCAGCCGCGGUAAUUCCAGCUCCAAUAGCGUAUAUUAAAGUUGUUGCAGUUAAAACGCUCGUCGUUGAACCUUGGGCCUGGGCGACCGGUCUCCCUCACCGGAUGCACUGGUUCGGCCGGGCCUUUCCUUCUGGGGAUCCGCAUGCCCUUCGCUGGGCGUGUCGGGGAACCAGGACUUUUACUUUGAAAAAAUUAGAGUGUUCAAAGCAGGCCUUUGCUCGAAUACCUUAGCAUGGAAUAAUAGAAUAGGACGUGCGGUCCUAUUUUGUUGGUUUCUAGGACCGCCGUAAUGAUUAAUAGGGUCAGUCGGGGGCAUCAGUAUUCAAUUGUCAGAGGUGAAAUUCUUAGAUUUAUUGAAGACUAACUACUGCGAAAGCAUUUGCCAAGGAUGUUUUCAUUAAUCAGUGAACGAAAGUUAGGGGAUCGAAGACGAUCAGAUACCGUCGUAGUCCUAACCAUAAACUAUGCCGACUAGGGAUCGGGCGAUGUUAUCAUUUUGACUCGCUCGGCACCUUACGAGAAAUCAAAGUGUUUGGGUUCUGGGGGGAGUAUGGUCGCAAGGCUGAAACUUAGAGGAACUGACGGAAG
rnacentral:rRNA from 1 species